GAUGAACGCUGGCGGCGUGCCUAAUACAUGCAAGUCGAGCGGAAAGGCUCCUACUCUGUGUUUAAAGUAUUGAACAUAGGGUUGGAGUACUCGAGCGGCGGACGGCUGAGUAACGCGUAGGAACGUACCCCCAAAGUGAGGGAUAAGCACCAGAAAUGGUGUCUAAUACCGCAUGUGGUCUUCGGAUUAAAGCUUCGGCGCUUUGGGAGCGGCCUGCGUAUGAUUAGCUUGUUGGUGAGGUAAUGGCUCACCAAGGCUUCGAUCAUUAGC
rnacentral:rRNA from 1 species